GGCGUAGUGGCGAAAGGGUUUAACGCACCGGUCUUUCAAGCCGGCAUGUGCGGGUUCAAAUCCCGCCUACGUCA
rnacentral:tRNA from 1 species